CCCCGAGGUGUCCCUCAUGUCCCCGAGGUGUUCCUCACGUCCCUGAGAUGUCCCUGAGGUGUCCCUGAGAUGUCCCCGAGGUGUCCCCCAUGCCCCUGAGAUGUUCCUCACGUCCCUGAGAUGUCCCUGAGGUGUCCCCAGCAUGUCCCCGUCCCCGCAGGCCUUCAGCCGCGCCCACCGCAUCGGCCAGGCCAACAAGGUGAUGAUUUACCGCUUCGUGACGCGGGCGUCGGUGGAGGAGAGGAUCACGCAGGUGGCCAAGCGCAAGAUGAUGCUGACGCACCUGGUGGUGCGCCCGGGGCUGGGCUCCAAGGCCGGCUCCAUGUCCAAGCAGGAGCUGGACGACAUCCUCAAGUUCGGCACCGAGGAGCUCUUCAAGGACGAGAACGAGGGGGACAACAAGGAGGAGGACAGCAGCGUCAUCCACUACGACAACGAGGCCAUCGCGCGGCUGCUGGACCGGAACCAGGACGCCACCGACGACGCCGACGUGCAGAACAUGAACGAGUACCUGAGCUCCUUCAAGGUGGCCCAGUACGUCGUCAGGGAGGAGGACAAGGUGUGCCGGGGACACCGGGCUGGGCCGGAGAGCAGGAGGUGUCGGGAGGGUGGAGAUGGUGGGGGUGGUGGGACAGUGGAGGUGAUGAUGGUGAUGGUGAAGGUGGGGAUGAUGGUGACGGUGAUGAUGACGAUGUGAUGAUGACAAUGAUGAUGAUGACAAUGAUGAUGAUGACAAUGAUGAUAAUGAUGAUGGUGGAGACCAUGAUGAAGAUGACGAUGGAGAUGAGGAUGAUGAUGAUGAUGGAGAUGAUGAUGAUGAUGAUGAUGAUGAUGGAGAUGAUGAUGACAAUGAUGAUGAUGAUGAUGAUGAUGAUGAUGACAAUGAUGAUGAUGAUGGAGAUGAUGGAGAUGAUGAUGAUGGAGAUGAUGAUGAUGAUGAUGACAAUGAUGAUGAUGAUGAUGGAGAUGAUGAUGAUGAUAAUGAUGGAGAUGAUGAUGAUGAUGAUGACAAUGAUGAUGAUGAUGAUGGAGAUGAUGGAGAUGAUGAUGAUGGAGAUGAUGGAGAUGAUGAUGAUGGAGAUGGUGAUGAUGGAGAUGAUGAUGAUGAUGGAGAUGAUGAUGAUGAUGGAGAUGAUGAUGAGGAUAGCAUAGAUGAUGAUGGAGACAAUGAUGAUGGAGAUGAUGAUGAUGGAGAUGAUGAUGAUGACAAUGAUGAUGAUGAUGAUGGAGAUGAUGAUGGAGAUGAUGAUGAUGGAGAUGAUGAUAAUGAUGACAACGAUGAUGAUGAUGAUGGUAGAGAUGACAAUUAGGAUGAAGAUGGUGAUGACGAUGGAGAUAAAUGAUGGAGAUGAUGAUGGAGAUGAUGGAGAUGAUGAUGAUGGAGAUGAUGAUGAUGAUGAUGAUGGAGAUGAUGAUGAGGAUAGCAUAGAUGAUGAUGGAGACAAUGAUGAUGGAGAUGAUGAUGACAAUGAUGGAGACAACCACCACAAGAACACCAGCACUGGGGUCACCAUACCCCGCAUUGACCCCAGCCCCUGGCUGACCCCUGAGUGACCCCAGAGUGACCCCUGGCUGACCCCUGGGUGACCUUCCGGUGUCCCCCGGCUGUCCCGCAGAUCGAGGAGAUCGAGCGCGAGAUCAUCAAGCAGGAGGAGAACGUGGACCCCGACUAUUGGGAGAAGCUCCUGCGGCACCACUACGAGCAGCAGCAGGAGGACCUGGCCAG
ensembl:lncRNA